UGGGGAAUCUUGCGCAAUGGGCGAAAGCCUGACGCAGCCAUGCCGCGUGAGUGAAGAAGGUCUUAGGAUUGUAAAGCUCUUUCGCUCGUGACGAUGAUGACGGUAACGAGAGAAGAAGCCCCGGCUAACUUCGUGCCAGCAGCCGCGGUAAUACGAAGGGGGCUAGCGUUGUUCGGAAUUACUGGGCGUAAAGCGCGCGUAGGCGGUUUUGCAAGCCAGAGGUGAAAUGCCUGAGCUCAACUCAGGAAUGGCCUUUGGGACUGCGAGGCUUUGAGGACUGGAGAGGUGAGUGGAAUUCCCAGUGUAGAGGUGAAAUUCGUAGAUAUUGGGAAGAACACCGGUGGCGAAGGCGGCUCACUGGCCAGUUUCUGACGCUGUAGCGCGAAAGCGUGGGGAUCAAACAG
rnacentral:rRNA from 1 species